GUACUAGAUAUGUGGAGGUGACUCUCAAUAGACUUCGGAGAAGAUUGAGUUAAGUGCAGAGAUGGCUCGGAGGGCGAACACUCUGCUAUGUUGUACCAUUAUUUUAUGAUAAUUGACUACGUGAGGUCCACUAUGGAGCAUCUGUAAUCUUUAGUGUAUAUGUAUCUUUAUUGUUUUGUUAUGCGUGUAAUCUUUAUACGUAUCUCUAGUGAUUGUUAUGAAUGUUGAAUGGUGUAAUUUUCAUGUGAAUUGUUUUUAUCUUUAUGAAGGUCGAUUGGUGUAAAUUAUGAAUAUUGAUCAAGUUCUUUAUCUAAUAUGAAGAUCUAUGUCCAUUUAUUAUGUAAU
rnacentral:lncRNA from 1 species